UACGUAGGGUGCAAGCGUUGUCCGGAAUUAUUGGGCGUAAAGAGCUCGUAGGCGGUUUGUCGCGUCGGCUGUGAAAGCCCGGAGCUCAACUCCGGGUCUGCAGUCGAUACGGGCAGACUUGAGUGCUGCAGGGGAGACUGGAAUUCCUGGUGUAGCGGUGAAAUGCGCAGAUAUCAGGAGGAACACCGGUGGCGAAGGCGGCCACCUGGACGGUAACUGACGCUGAGACGCGAAAGCGUGGGGAGCAAACAGG
rnacentral:rRNA from 1 species